GACGGUCAGGGACGAAAAGCUGGGGGAGCAAACCGGAUUAGAUACCCSGGGUAGUCCCAGCCGUAAACCCAUGGGCGCUGGGCGUCGUCCUCGUGGCGGUGCCGCAGCUAACGCGGUAAGCGCCCCGCCUGGGGAGUACGGGCGCAAGCCUGAAACUCAAAGGAAUUGGCGGGGGCCCGCACAACCGGUGGAGCGUCUGGUUCAAUUCGAUGCUAACCGAAAAACCUUACCCGGGCUUGACAUGGUGGGAAACCCUUGCGAAAGCGAGGGGUGCCGUCCUCUGGACGGAAUCCCACCACAGGUGGUGCAUGGCCGUCGUCAGCUCGUGUCGUGAGAUGUUGGGUUAAGUCCCGCAACGAGCGCAACCCCUGCCCUUAGUUGCUACCCCGAAUGGGGAGCACUCUAAGGGGACUGCCGGCGAUAAGCCGGAGGAAGGUGGGGAUGACGUCAGGUCAGUAUGCCCUUUAUGCCCGGGGCAACACAGGCGCUACAGUGGCCAGGACAAUGGGAUGCAACCCAGUAAUGGGGAGCAAAUCCCCCAAACCUGGUCAUGGUGCAGAUUGAGGGCUGAAACUCGCCCUCAUGAAGCCGGAAUCGGUAGUAAUGGCGGAUCAGCUAAGCCGCCGUGAAUACGUUCUCGGGCCUUGCACACACCGCCCGUCACGCCACGGAAGUCAGUCUUCCCGGAAGCUCCCGAGCU
rnacentral:rRNA from 1 species